GACAGAGGCCUCGAGCGUUAGGCGGAAUCACUGGGCUUAAAGCGUGUGUAGGCGGAUCGUUAAGUACCUUGUGAAAUCCCACGGCUCAACCGUGGAACGGCUGGGUAUACUGGCGGUCUUGGGCCAUUCAGGGGCGACUGGAACAAGCGGUGGAGCGGUGAAAUGCGUAGAUAUCGCUUGGAACGCCAAUGGUGAAAACAGGUAGCUGGGGCUGUACUGACACUGAGACACGAAAGCCAGGGGAGCAAACGGG
rnacentral:rRNA from 1 species